rnacentral:rRNA from 1 species
UACAGAGGACUCAAGCGUUGUUCGGAUUCAUUGGGCGUAAAGGGUGUGUAGGCGGCGCCGUAAGUCGGGUGUGAAAUUUCGGAGCUUAACUCCGAAACUGCAUUCGAUACUGCGGUGCUUGAGGACUGGAGAGGAGACUGGAAUUCAUGGUGUAGCAGUGAAAUGCGUAGAGAUCAUGAGGAAGACCAGUGGCGAAGGCGGGUCUCUGGACAGUUCCUGACACUGAGACACGAAGGCCAGGGGAGCAAACAGG